GAUGAACGCUGGCGGCGUGCCUAAUACAUGCAAGUCGAGCGAACGGACGAGAAGCUUGCUUCUCUGAUGUUAGCGGCGGACGGGUGAGUAACACGUGGAUAACCUACCUAUAAGACUGGGAUAACUUCGGGAAACCGGAGCUAAUACCGGAUAAUAUUUUGAACCGCAUGGUUCAAAAGUGAAAGACGGUCUUGCUGUCACUUAUAGAUGGAUCCGCGCUGCAUUAGCUAGUUGGUAAGGUAACGGCUUACCAAGGCAACGAUGCAUAGCCGACCUGAGAGGUGAACCGGCAAACUUGGACUUGAAACAGGGCCAGACUCCUACGGGAGGCAGCAGUAGGGAAUCUUCCGCAAUGGGCGAAAGCCUGACGGAGCAACGCCGCGUGAGUGAUGAAGGUCUUCGGAUCGUAAAACUCUGUUAUUAGGGAAGAACAUAUGUGUAAGUAACUGUGCACAUCUUGACGGUACCUAAUCAGAAAGCCACGGCUAACUACGUG
rnacentral:rRNA from 1 species